GACGUAGGGCGCGAGCGUUGUCCGGAUUUAUUGGGCGUAAAGAGCUCGUAGGCGGCUUGUCGCGUCGACCGUGAAAACUUGGGGCUCAACCCCAAGCCUGCGGUCGAUACGGGCAGGCUCGAGUUCGGUAGGGGAGACUGGAAUUCCUGGUGUAGCGGUGAAAUGCGCAGAUAUCAGGAGGAACACCGGUGGCGAAGGCGGGUCGCUGGGCCGAUACUGACGCUGAGGAGCGAAAGCGUGGGGAGCGAACAGG
rnacentral:rRNA from 1 species